GCUGCGUAUUGGUAAUUUUGGAUUCGGAUGAGUGCUCGAUCUUGGCACUCGUUAAUGAGAUCGAGAUCGUCGAGGAGCAUUGCGUUGUUGAGCUCCUCUCAUUUCGGAAGUAAUCUUGUUCGAACACCGGGGAACUCUACUUCUGCGGGAAUCAUGCAUUCCGUUCCGUACACCAGAGCGAAAGGGGUUUCUCCUGUUGCUCGCCUCGGAGUGGUACGGUGGGACCAGAGGACUCCCUCGAGUUCCUCGGCCCACCUGCCUUUUUUGGCCUCUAAGCGUUUCUUCAGUCCGUCG
rnacentral:lncRNA from 1 species